UUGAACGAUUUUCUUUAAUGAAACUCAAA
rnacentral:piRNA from 1 species